UACGGAGGGUGCAAGCGUUAAUCGGAAUUACUGGGCGUAAAGCGUGCGUAGGCGGUUCGUUAAGUCUGUUGUGAAAGCCCCGGGCUCAACCUGGGAAUGGCAAUGGAUACUGGCGGGCUGGAGUGUGGCAGAGGGGGGUGGAAUUCCACGUGUAGCAGUGAAAUGCGUAGAGAUGUGGAGGAACACCGAUGGCGAAGGCAGCCCCCUGGGCCAACACUGACGCUCAGGCACGAAAGCGUGGGGAGCAAACAGG
rnacentral:rRNA from 1 species